rnacentral:lncRNA from 1 species
AAAUAAUCAUUAUUUAAUAAUAAUUAUUAAUUGUUUUAUGUGUAAAAAAAUAAAAAAUAAAAUUACACUUAAAAGAAACUGGGAGUAAUAAUUAGCUAGAAUAUUUUUCGCUAAAGUUCUAUUCAACUUUCUGAUUUAGCAUUUCCCUGUUUUUAUCUCAAAAGGCUCUUCUUCUGCGCUUCCAAACCCAAGUUGAUAUAUACUGUUGUCGAUAUCUUUACUUGUCAGGUAUUGAAAAAGAUAUACUGGGAAAUUUGCACUUUAUCUAAGAAUUUUUUUUCUACAUUGUGUUUGUAUUUGAU